CGUCUCCUUGGUUACACCACUCUUCACCAAGGUAACAUCAACCGUCUCCUUGGUAACAUCACUCUUCACCAAGGUAACAUUAACCGUCUCCUUGGUAACAUCACUCUUCACCAAGGUAACAUUAACCGUCUCCUUGGUAACAUCACUCUUCACCAAGGUAACAUUAACCGUCUCCUUGGUAACAUCACUCUUCACCAAGGUAACAUCAUCCGUCUCCUUGGUUACAUCACUCUUCACCAAGGUAACAUUAACCGUCUCCUUGGUAACAUCACUCUUCACCAAGGUAACAUCAUCCGUCUACUUGGUAACAUCACUCUUCACCAAGGUAACAUCAUCCGUCUCCUUGGUAACAUCACUCUUCACCUAGGUAACAGUAAGCGUCUUUUUUGUAACAUCACUCUUCGCCUAAAUAACAUUAACCCUACAUGAUAACAUCACUUUUAACCUAGGCCGCAUUAAGCCUCACCCGCAGACAUCAAUCCUCACACGGGGUGACAUGAAUGUAGUUAUAUCAGUAAACUUACCUAACUCAUGCAUUUUCCAUCUCUUUUACUGCAAUAUUUAAUUAUGAUAAAUUCAUGUUUCUUCAGACUCACUUCCUAGAAUCUAGAAUCUCUUAUUUCUGUGGCGCACAAGUGACUUAAAAUGUCCAUAUCGAUCUACAUCGAUGCAGGCAUGACACUAUCACGUGCUUUAGUAUUUUCAAACUCAUAAUUCCCCAAAUGGUACAAAUAAACCUCAAUUAUUCAAAAGUGUCACAUUUCACGACAAAAAUAUUUUACAUCCGCAUAACACAAAAGAAAAAGAACAGUCAUCGCCCAAAUCACCUAAAAAGAGGAUAAUUGAAGGUGUUUAAAUAUGCAUUAUGGUCACACCAUGAGAAGUAUUACAAUUGUAUUGGAUUUUCGAACAGUGGAAAAAUAUUUGUAAAUAAAGCACUUCGCAUUGUCGAUAUUACAGUUAUUUGUGUAACCACUUAUCGUAUACUGGAUCGAACUCACAGAUUAUAAUUUUUCAUAAGAUGUAUUACCACAUUGAGUGACAGCGUUGAUAGUGAUAUUUGUCAAAUUUCAAGGCCAAAUUUCACUCUCGUCAUUUGUCGAGACGGUAAACAUCGCAUAAUAAAAUAAAAUUAAAAAAAAAAAAACAGAAAAAAAAAACAGAAAAAAAAUCAAUUAAGCAGUUGACAAUGAUUACCCGUAUCCAGAUGUCACGGCGAAGUAAAUAAUGAAUAUACGAAGAUGGAUUUCAUGAGAUUUCGUUUGUUUUUUGUUAUUAUUACAUUAUUUAAGGGGUUGGGGGUUUGGGUAUCUAUGCGUUUGAUAAAAAAUGGAGUGGUAUCUCUUUUCUCCUGUUUUAGAUCAUGUUCCAAUAUACGACUGCAUGCUUAUGACAUCGCUAUAUUUUUGUUAUAUGCGUCUGGCAUAUGAAGUCUUAUUGUUAGAAGCACGUGUCUGUUACACCUCAUACAAACAUACAAACAUUAUUACCGAAAGAAAAAUAGGAAGUGCUAUAAUAUGUAUGCACUGUGCAUGUGUUGAUGAACUAGAAUAAAAUAUAUGUAUAUUUGAAUGGAUAAACAUGUGAUUCUUUUUUUUUUAUAUAUAUACAUGUAUUUUAUUUUCCCCGCGUCAGAUUAUUUUAUUACAAUAUCUGAAGUGUAAGAGAUCCAUGCUGAAACAAACUCUCGCCUUCGUGAAUAGCUUUACCAGGGCCCGCUACAUUUUUAUCUUAUGAUGACUGAAAAUCACGAUAUUUAUUUCUGAAGUGCUUGCUUGAAUUAUGAAGUGUUGACAAAUAUAUUUAUCUGCCAUUAUUCAAAUGGUCAUUAUCGUUAAUUAAAACCAUACAAAAAAAAUGUUAAUGAUUUUAUUUUUAAUCUCACACUUUUAUGGCAUGAAAUCUAAUCAUUUAUUUCUUCUCGAUAGCAUUUUCUUCAUUCAUCGUGUUGGUGCUGAAUCCAUUGAUGUUGUUUCUGUUUUUACUUUUUAAGUAAUAUCCAAAAAUUGGACAAUACUAGCAUAAUGGAACUAACAGAACGAGAUAGUGGUGAGGCGUAUGGCAAGCCAUGUUAUCAUUCAUGGGGCAAUGUUGAUAAGAUAUCUUAUAUAAACUGUAGGACAUCACUUUUGAUAAAUGAGAUAAUUAUAUACUUUUCUAUAUGAGAUAUCUUAUAUAAAAUAUAAGAUUUCAUAAACUUUAAAAAAGAUGUUAUCUAAUAUACUUUACAAGAUAUCAUAUAAUUUGGUUAAGCACUUUUAGCUUUGCUCCAUGAAUAAAUGAAAACUUGGCUUGCCAUAGAGGCGCGUUCAAAUACUGCUCCUACAGUCUAUCGCGCUGACGUUGAAUACUGCAAGAGAUGUAACCCGAGUUUCCUCUGGCCCUGACACCGGAAACUCGGACUACAAGAGACGAUGCGACAAUCGUUUAAAUAAGUAAAUUGAGAAACACGACGAUGAUACAUUUGUUAAUGAAGACGCCGAAACAAACUUUGGCAUAUUAAACUGUAUUCUGUCUAGAUAAAUUAACUACAGUGUUUUAAAAUUCUAAAUACUUUACUCUGACGCCAACUUAGCGAGAUAGACUCUAGCGCAAAAUACAGGAAAUAUGGCAAAUUAUCUCCCUUAGAUACAUUUUUAUGUAAUCGUUUAUAGAGUAUAAAAGUGUAAUGUCCAUACUUCUCCCUCUCAACUGCAUAAUGUGUAAUGUGUAUUUUAUUGAAAUAAAUCGUCUGUGUUAUAAA